rnacentral:tRNA from 1 species
GCUUUUGUAGUUCAAUGGAAGAACACUUUCUCUUAGCAGAAAGAGGUCCAAGUUCAAAUCUUGGCAGAAGCU